rnacentral:rRNA from 1 species
CCCCAACCAUCCGCCAGGGUACUACGAGCAUUAGCUUAAAACCCAAAGGACUUGGCGGUGCUUAAGACCCCCCUAGAGGAGCCUGUUCUAGAACCGAUACCCCCCGUUAAACCUCACCCCUCCUUGUUGAACCCGCCUAUAUACCGCCGUCGUCAGCUUACCCUGUGAAGGUUAUAUAGUAAGCAUAAUUAGCAAACCCCAAAACGUCAGGUCGAGGUGUAGCGAAUGGAGGGGGAAGAAAUGGGCUACAUUCCUUAGUGUAAGGAAAACGAAAGAUAUGAUGAAAUUUGUAUCAGAAGGAGGAUUUAGCAGUAAGUGGAAAACAGAGAGUUCCACUGAAGCCGGCCCUAAAGCGCGCACACAC